CAAGAUAAAGGCAAAACCGAAGUAAUUCGGUGACGCAAAGCCACGGGUCCAUAACUGGAUCGCCGGGUUGCUCAAC
rfam:Desulfuromonas acetoxidans DSM 684 ctg54, whole genome shotgun sequence.